AACGAACGCUGGCGGCAGGCCUAACACAUGCAAGUCGAGCGCGCCCUUCGGGGUGAGCGGCGGACGGGUGAGUAACGCGUGGGAACGUGCCCUUUUCUACGGAAUAGCCUCGGGAAACUGAGAGUAAUACCGUAUACGCCCUUUGGGGGAAAGAUUUAUCGGAAAAGGAUCGGCCCGCGUUGGAUUAGGUAGUUGGUGGGGUAAUGGCCUACCAAGCCGACGAUCCAUAGCUGGUUUGAGAGGAUGAUCAGCCACACUGGGACUGAGACACGGCCCAGACUCCUACGGGAGGCAGCAGUGGGGAAUCUUAGACAAUGGGGGCAACCCUGAUCUAGCCAUGCCGCGUGAGUGAUGAAGGCCUUAGGGUUGUAAAGCUCAUUCAGCUGGGAAGAUAAUGACGGUACCAGCAGAAGAAGCCCCGGCUAACUCCGUG
rnacentral:rRNA from 1 species